UACGUAGGUGGCAAGCGUUGUCCGGAUUUACUGGGCGUAAAGGGCGUGCAGGCGGUUUGUUUAGUCUAGGGUGAAAGCUCCCGGCUUAACUGGGAGAGGUCCUUGGAUACUGGCAAACUUGAGGGAGGCAGAGGGAAGCGGAAUUCCGGGUGUAGCGGUGAAAUGCGUAGAUAUCCGGAGGAACACCGGUGGCGAAGGCGGCUUCCUGGACCGACACUGACGCUGAGGCGCGAAAGCUAGGGGAGCAAACGGG
rnacentral:rRNA from 1 species